GGGAAACCAAACUGCAGGUCGAGGGGCAUCGGGGAGCGAAGCUUGCUUUGCUCCGCCGGCGACCGGCGCACGGGUCAGUAACGCGUAUGCAACCUGCCCGUUUCAGCGGGAUAACCCGGAGAAAUCCGGCCUAAUACCGCAUGUGGCCGAGGGGAGGCAUCUUCCUUCGGCCAAAGGAGGCGACUCCGGAGACGGAUGGGCAUGCGUGACAUUAGCUAGUUGGCGGGGUAACGGCCCACCAAGGCGACGAUGUCUAGGGGUUCUGAGAGGAAGGUCCCCCACACUGGUACUGAGACACGGACCAGACUCCUACGGGAGGCAGCAGUGAGGAAUAUUGGUCAAUGGGCGAGAGCCUGAACCAGCCAAGUUGCGUGAAGGAUGACGGCCCUACGGGUUGUAAACUUCUUUUGUCAGGGAGCAAUUGGGUCCACGUGUGGGCUUAGCGAGAGUACCUGAAGAAAAAGCAUCGGCUAACUCCGUGCCAGCAGCCGCGGUAAUACGGAGGAUGCGAGCGUUAUCCGGAUUUAUUGGGUUUAAAGGGUGCGUAGGCGGAAUAUUAAGUCAGCGGUAAAAAUUCGGGGCUCAACCCCGUCGUGCCGUUGAAACUGAUGUUCUUGAGUGGGCGAGAAGUAUGCGGAAUGCGUGGUGUAGCGGUGAAAUGCAUAGAUAUCACGCAGAACUCCGAUUGCGAAAGCAGCAUACCGGCGCCCCACCGACGCUGAAGCACGAAAGCGUGGGUAUUCGAACAGG
rnacentral:rRNA from 1 species